rnacentral:rRNA from 1 species
CCUACGGGAGGCAGCAGUGGGGGAUAUUGGACAAUGGGGGAAACCCUGAUCCAGCGACGCCGCGUGAGUGAAGAAGUAUUUCGGGAUGUAAAGCUCUAUCAGCAGGGAAGAAAGAAAUGACGGUACCUGAGUAAGAAGCCCCGGCUAACUACGUGCCAGCAGCCGCGGGAAUACGUAGGGGGCAAGCGUUAGCCGGAAUUACUGGGUGUAAAGGGAGCGUAGACGGUAAUGCAAGCCUGGAGUGAAAGGCGGGGGCCCAACCCCCGGACUGCUCUGGAAACUGUGUAACUGGAGUGCAGGAGAGGCAGGCGGAAUUCCUGGUGUAGCGGUGAAAUGCGUAGAUAUUAGGAGGAACACCAGUGGCGAAGGCGGCCUGCUGGACUGUAACUGACGUUGAGGCUCGAAAGCGUGGGGAGCAAACAGGAUUAGAUACCCCUGUAGUC